rnacentral:rRNA from 1 species
CCUACGGGCGGCUGCAGUGGGGGAUAUUGCACAAUGGGGGGAACCCUGAUGCAGCGACGCCGCGUGGGUGAAGGAGUAUUUCGGUAUGUAAAGCCCUAUCGGCAGGGAAGAAGCAAGACGGUACCUGACUAAGAAGCCCCGGCUAACUACGUGCCAGCAGCCGCGGUAAUACGGAGGGUGCAAGCGUUAUCCGGAUUUACUGGGUGGAAAGGGAGCGUAGACGGCGAUGCAAGUCUGAAGUGAAAGGCGGGGGCCCAACCCCCGGACUGCUUUGGAAACUGUAUGGCUGGAGUGCAGGAGAGGUAAGUGGAAUUCCUAGUGUAGCGGUGAAAUGCGUAGAUAUUAGGAGGAACACCAGUGGCGAAGGCGGCUUACUGGACUGUAACUGACGUUGAGGCUCGAAAGCGUGGGGAGCAAACAGGAUUAGAUACCCCAGUAGUC